CCUACGGGAGGCUGCAGUGAGGAAUAUUGGUCAAUGGACGCAAGUCUGAACCAGCCAUGCCGCGUGCAGGAAGACGGCUCUAUGAGUUGUAAACUUCUUUUAUAGGGGAAUAAAGGUAUCCACGUGUGGAUAUUUGCAUGUACCCUAUGAAUAAGCAUCGGCUAACUCCGUGCCAGCAGCCGCGGUAAUACGGAGGAUGCGAGCGUUAUCCGGAUUUAUUGGGUUUAAAGGGUGCGUAGGUUGUUUUUUAAGUCAGCGGUGAAAGUUUGUGGCUCAACCAUAAAAUUGCCGUUGAAACUGGAAGACUUGAGUGUGUUUGAGGUAGGCGGAAUGCGUGGUGUAGCGGUGAAAUGCAUAGAUAUCACGCAGAACUCCGAUUGCGAAGGCAGCUUACUAAGCCAUAACUGACACUGAAGCACGAAAGCGUGGGGAUCAAACAGGAUUAGAUACCCCGGUAGUC
rnacentral:rRNA from 1 species